AGCAGCCGCGGUAAUUCCAGCUCCAAUAGCGUAUAUUAAAGUUGUUGCAGUUAAAAAGCUCGUAGUUGAAUUUUGGAUUCUUCCAAUUGGUCCAUCUUUUAGAUGAGUACUGGUUGUGUGGGGUCUAUCCGCCUGGUGAUACGUAAUGUCCUUUAUUGGAUGUUGCGGGUAGUCAGGACCUUUACCUUGAAAAAUUAGAGUGUUUAAAGCAGGCUUAUGCCGGAAUACAUUAGCAUGGAAUAAUAGAAUAGGACGAAGUUGUUUUAUUUUGUUGGUUUCUAGGACAACCGUAAUGAUUAAUAGGGAUAGUUGGGGGCAUUAGUAUUCAAUUGUCAGAGGUGAAAUUCUUGGAUUUAUUGAAGACUAACUACUGCGAAAGCAUUUGCCAAGGAUGUUUUCAUUAAUCAAGAACGAAAGUUAGGGGAUCGAAGACGAUCAGAUACCGUCGUAGUCUUAACCAUAAACUAUGCCGACUAGGGAUCGGGCGAUGUUGUUUCCAUGACUCGCUCAGCACCUUAUA
rnacentral:rRNA from 1 species